AUGGUUUCAAUGCAAAUUGUUUAAUUAUGAAAAAUGUUUAUAUUAUUUUUAUUUUUUCUCAUGCGUAUUGCUUUCAUGCGAAAAUUAAUAUCAAUUCCCACCGCAAGGUUUGCUGAUUUGUGAAAUAGUUUUUUCAUUUUCAUUUUCAUUUUCAUUUUCAUUUUUAUUUUUUCUUUUCGUUUUUAUCGUUUCGUGAGUGAAGUUGCAAAUUGAAAAGAAUAUUAAUAAUGGAGUUAAAUUUUAGAAAAGAAAUGAGUGCCUACGAAAGGGAAAGAGAGCGAGAAUGGUUGUACGCUCAACCAUUAUAUUUGACGAAACAAUUAUUGUUGAGAAAGGUUUGCUUUUCAAUUUUAACUAAGUGAUUAUUGUUUAAAAAAAUGAUAUAUUUAAAUAAUGAUAAAAAUUGUUCCCAGAUUCAUUUAGAGACAAGAAAAGUUUAUGCUGAGUUUCUUAAACUUGAAAAGGACAACCGAGUGCAUGAUUGGACUUGACAACACCAACGAGAAUACUACAUGCAUUUUUAUAACACAAAAAAUUCUUCGAUACGUGAAGAUAUAAAGUUGUUAGGAAUAUUGGAAGAAACUGAGAGAAAAAUUGCUUGGUGUCAAUAUGAGGCAAAAUUAACACCAAUCACAAGGGAUGGAACUUUUAGGGACCUGCAAGCUCUCUACCCAGAAGAAGUUGAAGAAUAUGAAUGGGG